CCUACGGGUGGCAGCAGUGAGGAAUAUUGGUCAAUGGGCGCGAGCCUGAACCAGCCAAGCAGCGUGAAGGAUGAAGGCACUACGGUUUGUAAACUUCUUUUGUCAGGGAAUAAAGUGAGGCACGUGUGCCUGUAUGUGUGUACUUUAUGAAUAAGGAUCGGCUAACUCCGUGCCAGAAGCCGCGGUAAUACGGAGGAUCCGAGCGUUAUCCGGAUUUAUUGGGUUUAAAAGGUGUGUAGAUGGGUUGUUAAGUCAGUUGUGAAAGUCUGGGGCUCAAACCUAGACUCGCAAUUGAUACUGGCAGUCUGGAGUUGAGUUGAGGUAGGCGGAAUGCGUGGUGUAGCGGUGAAAUGCAUAGAUAUCGCGAAGAACUCCGAUUGCGAAGGCAGCUUGCUAAA
rnacentral:rRNA from 1 species